AUUACUUUGGCAGAUAAGUGUAAUGAAUUUAGAAUUCAUAUAUAUAAAUUAAAUUUUAUAAGUAAUA
rnacentral:tRNA from 1 species